ACGAACGCUGGCGGCGUGCCUCAUACAUGCAAGUCGAGCGAAGGGUUAUGAAUUUAUUCAUAACGACUUAGCGGCGGACGGGUGAGUAACACGUGAACAACCUGCCCUUCAGACAGGGAUAACAGUGGGAAACUGCUGCUAAUACCCGAUAUUAUUUAUUAAUAGCAUUAUUGAUAAAUGAAAGGCUAUGUGCUGAAGGAUGGGUUCGCGUUCCAUUAGUUAGUUGGUAGGGUAACGGCCUACCAAGACGAUGAUGGAUAGCCGACCUGAGAGGGUGACCGGCCACAUAGGAACUGAGACACGGUCCUAACUCCUACGGGGGGCAGCAGUCGGGGAUAUUGCACAAUGGAGGAAACUCUGAUGCAGCGACGCCGCGUGAGCGAAGAAGGUCUUCGGAUUGUAAAGCUCUGAUGCGAGAGAUGAAGGAAGUGACAGUAUCUCGCCAGCAAGCACCGGCUAACUAMNUGCCANCCGCCGCGGUAAUAC
rnacentral:rRNA from 1 species